UGUGGGGAAUGGUCAAUACCAAGGCAAAUUCUGCUUCAGAAUCACCUAACCACCAAUAAAUCAUUACGAAUGCCAAUGAAUGUGUAACCCCUGUGAGGUUAAUUGGUUUAGCCCAGUGGCGUGGAGUCAGAAGCUAGAGGCAGGCUGCUGAGGAGGAGGCUGUUUGCUGGGGAGCUUAAUAAAUUAUAAGCUCUUACCACCUUGAAUACGGGCUAUCAUUCCCAACAAGAAGACGGAAGCCUGGGGUACAGUCGCUUCAAAUGGAUGAGCGAGGACUCAUCACUUCUUGGAUGUGGAACUGUUCGCCUUUUCAAGGACAUUGUUGAUUUGGAGGGGGGUUUUUUGGAUGGUUGCACUUAAGAGUUAAUUUUUGUUACAGUUGUAUUUUAUUAAUUGUUAAAAAGUUUAAAAGGGUUUCUUAACAUUUUGUGAUAGUUGCUUUCUAAGCCCCAUAGAACCCAUGACAAGAGAAAUUACAAAUGCUUUUGUAGCUGCAUUCUGAUCUGUGAACCAUUAAUCAUGAUCUUCUGAGUAGACUAGUUACUGUG